UACGAAGGGGGCUAGCGUUGUUCGGAAUUACUGGGCGUAAAGGGCGCGCAGGCGGCACGGCAAGUCAGGCGUGAAAGCCCCGGGCUCAACCCGGGAGGUGCGCUUGAUACUGCCGAGCUCGAGUUCGGGAGAGGAUGGUGGAAUUCCCAGUGUAGAGGUGAAAUUCGUAGAUAUUGGGAAGAACACCGGUGGCGAAGGCGGCCAUCUGGACCGAAACUGACGCUGAGGCGCGAAAGCGUGGGGAGCAAACAGG
rnacentral:misc_RNA from 1 species